rnacentral:rRNA from 1 species
CAAUUAUUUAAGCCUCUGGCUAUAGGAAAUUGUUAGUGGCAGACGGGUGAGUAAUGCGUAGGAAUCUACCUAGUAGUACGGAAUAGCCAUUAGAAAUGGUGGGUAAUACUGUAUAAUCCCCGAGGGGGAAAGAUUUAUUGCUAUUAGAUGAGCCUACGUUAGAUUAGCUAGUUGGCGAGGUAAUGGCUUACCAAGGCUAUGAUCUAUAGCUGGUCUGAGAGGACGAUCAGCCACACUGGAACUGAGAUACGGUCCAGACUCCUACGGGAGGCAGCAGUGGGGAAUAUUGGACAAUGGGCGAAAGCCUGAUCCAGCUAUGCCGCGUGAGUGAAGAAGGCCUUCGGGUUGUAAAACUCUUUCAAUAGGGAAGAUAAUGACGGUACCUAUAA